GUCUUGAGGUGAUAUUGCUCCGUGUUCGUUGUUGAUCGAAGAUCUAGCUGUUUUGGCGCUCCAGAACACACCUUUUGAUGCUACCUUCCCUGACAAAUGCAGCUUUAGCUGAAAAGCCCCCGGACAUGAAAACUGUAUUUUCUAAUCCCCUGAAGAAGACCGCAUAUCGCGUCGAAACGCCGGAAUAAAAAAGAAAAAACUACAAGUUUUUGAAUUUGUCUCUGAC